UACAGAGGUGGCAAGCGUUGUUCGGAAUUACUGGGCGUAAAGGGCGCGUAGGCGGUCUUCUAAGUCUUGUGUGAAAUCCCUCGGCUCAACUGAGGAACUGCACGGGAUACUGGAAGACUUGAGUUCGGGAGAGGGAAGCGGAAUUCCGGGUGUAGCGGUGAAAUGCGUAGAUAUCUGGAGGAAUACCGGUGGCGAAGGCGGCAUCCUGGACCGAGAUUGACACUGAUG
rnacentral:rRNA from 1 species